rnacentral:lncRNA from 1 species
CGAGCGAGUUGGGUCUUGCAGUCGCCCACCGCCCCGCUCUGCAGAUCGGUAGACUGAGUCCCGGCUAGGCGCGCAGCUCCGCGGGGCGGGAGUGGCUGAGCUAGGCGCUGACACGCCCUCUGUCCGCCCCAGAGGCAGCUCUUUGAGAUUCAGUCCACUCCGGCGCCCACCCCCCAGGUUGUCCAGAAAGUCCACUGGGCCAGGACGGUCACCCGUGGGCCUGACCUUCGGCGGUGCUCAGGGCCGAGCCCCUGCUCCAGCCGAGCCUCUUGGGACUCGGGCCACCUCUUCCCGAGCUGCUGUGCAGGCAGGUUCAGUGUCCUGUGUGCCAUCUCAGCCCCACCCCUCCAUGGCUGAGCAGUGGAGUGCCUGGCCCUGCCUAAGACUCUGGCUCUGGAGUUUAGUCUGUGAGUCUGCUCCUGCUUGACACGCCCCUAUCUAAGGCAGCGGAUUCACUAGUCUCACUAUGUAGCUCAGGCUGGCCUUGAACUAACAGCGAUCCUCCUGCCUCAGCUGCCCAAGUGCUGGGAUCACAGGGCUCCUCAAGGCUGAAGGCAACCGGGAACCAGUACCCAUCUCUAAUCUUGCAAAGGAAUUCAGUGAGAAAUGGAAUAAAAAAAUCACCAAGCACAUUUCCUCCAUAUGCUUUGUGAAACCAUAGAGAAUGCUCAUAUUGCACACCCCAGUGGGACACCCAUCAGCGAUGCUUUCAACCACUAGUGAUAAGCCAGGCAUGGUGGCACACACCUGUAAUCUCAGCCCUCGGGAGGCUGAGGCAGGAGGAUUACUAUGAGUUCAAGGCCAGCCUGAGCUACACAGUGAGUUCAGGGCCAGCCUGAACUACAAAGUGAAACUCUGUCUCAAAAAACCAAAAAAAACAACAAACAAACAAACAAAAAAAC